CAGUCGCCGCGGGAAUACGAAGGGUGCAAGCGUUAAUCGGAAUUACUGGGCGUAAAGCGUGCGUAGGCGGUGAGUUAAGUCUGCUGUGAAAUCCCCGGGCUCAACCUGGGAAUGGCAGUGGAUACUGGCUCGCUAGAGUGUGUCAGAGGAUGGUGGAAUUCCCAGUGUAGAGGUGAAAUUCGUAGAUAUUGGGAAGAACACCGGUGGCGAAGGCGGCCCCCUGGACAAAGACUGACGCUCAGGUGCGAAAGCGUGGGGAGCAAACAGGAUUAGAUACCCCAGUAGUCCCUGUCUCUUAUAC
rnacentral:rRNA from 1 species